rnacentral:rRNA from 1 species
GAUGAACGCUGGCGGCGUGCCUAAUACAUGCAAGUCGAGCGAACGGACGAGAAGCUUGCUUCUCUGAUGUUAGCGGCGGAAGUGUGAGUAAAACGUGGAUACCCUACCUAUAAGACUGGGAUAACUUCGUGAAACCGGAGCUAAUACCGGAUUAUAUUUUGAACCGCAUGGUUCAAAAGUUAAAGACGUUCUUGCUGUCCCUUCUAGCUGUCUCCGCGCUGCAUUAGCUAGUUGGUAAGGUAACGGCUUACCAAGGCAACGAUGGAUAGCCGACCUGAGAGGGGGAACGGCGACACUGGAAGUGAGACACGGUACAGACUCCGAGGGGAGGCAGCAAUAGGGAAGCUACGGAGAAGGGGGAAAGACUGAAGGAGCAACGCAGCGUGAGUGAUGCAGGGCUGCGGAUCGGAAAACUCUGUUAUGAGGGAAGACCACAUGCGGAAGUAACGGUGCACAUCGUGACGGUACCUAAUCAGAAAGCAACGGCUAACUACGUG